CUCAAAAGAUAGGAAAAUGCUUUGAAAGGUCAAACUGACCUGCACACAGAGGAGAUCAUAAAACAUAGAAUCAACAUAGAAUACAAUUAUUAUAGAAAAAUAAGAAGACAACAUGGUAAUAAGCAGUAAACUAGUGGAUAGAUUUCCUUGCUAAUGUAACCUUCAGAUUAUCUACCCUGUGUCCUGUGGGCUCUGUCUGACCAUCACUUUGGUUCACAGUGUCCUCAAAAGAAAUGAAGACUCCCGAAAGAUGUCACAAGUCAUAGUUGCACAUAAUACAAUCGCCCCCCCUCCCACUUUACAAAUAGGAGGGUAAAAGGCAUACAGUUUGGACUUAACAGUGAGAACUCGAAGGUUUAAAAUCCUGUGACAAACACCUUGUAAUUAUUCACUUGUUGAUGUAGGGUCUUUGCUUUCUUUCAGUCUCUUCUAUCAGUGUAUGUGACCCAGUGAAAUAUAAUCGCACAUGGAAAGACGUGAUGUGACAGGGUCAAUUCCUAAUGUUUCUGCUAAAGAUCAGUUGUGUAUGAGACCUGUGCUCAUAUGGUCUGUAAUGGAGCAGCUGGAUGGUUAAAAUGUCAUUGUGCUUUCUCUGAAGACAUCAGCUAAACGUGUAUCGUCUCUUUGUGCAGUCUUCGCAUUUAAAAAAAAAUUGUAAAAAGUGGUAAACUCUCAAAUUCACCUCAAUCUGUCUUCUUUAUAUUAGGGUGAAGGCAGAAAUCUUUGAAGAAGAAAUCCUUAAAGCUUCUCCACUUCAGCCAGGACAAGAUAAUAACCAACCUGAGGAACUGUCCUCUGAGCACCGCAAGCAUGGACUCUGUGAUGGAGUCCAUUCCGAACCUGCUCCGUAACCUCAUCACAGGCUCCAAGGACUUCCCUCUCUUCAGUUCAGAGGAUCCUUCUGCACACCUCAGAUGGUCACAAAAGGUCCACAUGGAGCAGGAGGAGAGCCAGAACACCACACUGUCUCCUGAUGGAAGAACCAUGAGGUAUGAUGCCCACUCCACUCCAGUUCUCCCUGAGAGGACAGAGCUGGGAGUCCUGAAGGCAGACCACAGAAACUGUGUGCAAUGCGUGUAGAUUAAUGGCAGGACUGUGGCCGGAGUUAUCUGUAUAAGAGAGGAGAAUGGGUGAGACUGAAGUAGGAGCAUGCAUGGUGAACUCUGGCCUUUCAAAAGAGAGAUGAGAGGAGAUGAGAGCAGAAAAGACAAGAGGAGACAGCAUGCACUGCAAAGUCUCUCAUUUCAAAAAGAUUGCUAUGUUCUCACCUGCAGCAGCAGACAGCCUGCCUGUCAUCACAUACAGAUCCAGCUGGACUCCAGGCCACCACAAAGUCUGCAAGUGUCACACACAGUGAG